rnacentral:rRNA from 1 species
CAGUAGCCGCGGGAAUACAGAGGGUGCGAGCGUUAAUCGGAUUUACUGGGCGUAAAGCGUGCGUAGGCGGCUUCUUAAGUCGGAUGUGAAAUCCCUGAGCUUAACUUAGGAAUUGCAUUCGAUACUGGGAAGCUAGAGUAUGGGAGAGGAUGGUAGAAUUCAGGUGUAGCGGUGAAAUGCGUAGAGAUCUGGAGGAAUACCGAUGGCGAAGGCAGCCAUCUGGCCUAAUACUGACGCUGAGGUACGAAAGCAUGGGGAGCAAACAGGAUUAGAUACCCGCGUAGUCCCUGUCUCUUAUACA